UAGGUUACGAAGCGCCGUUGC
rnacentral:misc_RNA from 1 species